AAAAACGCGUGAUUUUUGUGCUUAAUUGGCGGAUUUGCGAAGAGAAAACUCGUGGUUUUUUGUGUUAAUUGAGGGAUUUGCGAAGAGAAAACGCGUGACUUUCGCUUAAAUGUGGGAUUUGAGAAAACGCGUGAUUUUCGCUUAAAUGUUGGAUUCUCGGAGAGAAAACGCGUGAUUUUCGCUUAAAUGGGGGAUUUCAGAAAAGAAAACGCGUGAUUUUCGGGUUAAAUGGAAGAUUCCUGAAGAGAAAAUGCGUGUUUUUUGCUUAAACGGCGGAUUUGUGAAGAGAAAAUGCGUGUUUUUUGCUUAAAUGGGGGAUUUGCGAAGAGAAAACGCGUGGUUUUCUGGUUAAAUGGAAGAUUCCUGAAGAGAAAACGCGUGAUUUUUGCUUAAAUGGGGGAUUUGUGAAGAGAAAACGCGUGUUUUUCGCUUAAAUGGGGGAUUUCUGAAGAGAAAACGCGUGAUUUUCGGGUUAAUUGGGAAAUUUUCAAAGAGAAAACACGUGUUUUCCACAUAAAUGGGGGAUUUGCGAAGAGAAAACGCGUGUUUUUCGCUUAAAUGGGGGAUUUCUGAAGAGAAAACGCGUGAUUUUCGGGUUAAACGGGAAAUUUUCGAAGAGAAAACACGUGUUUUCCACAUAAAUGGCGGAUUUGUGAAGAGAAAACGCGUGUUUUUCGCUUAAAUGGGGGAUUUGUGAAGAGAAAACGCGUGAUUUUCGGGUUAAAUGGAAGAUUCCUGAAGAGAAAACGCGUGAUUUUCAAGUUAAAUGGGGGAUUUGCAAAGAGAAAACGUGUGAUUUUUGCUUAAAUGGUGUAUUUGAGAAGAGAAAAUUUGUGAUUUUCGCAUAAAUGGGGGAUUCUCAAAGAGAAAACGCUUGAUUUUCACUUAAAAUGACGAUUCUCAAAGAGAAAACGUGAGAUUUUCACUUAAAUGGGGGUUUUGCGAAGGGAAAACGUGUGAUUUUCGCUUAAAUGGGGGAUUUUGAAGAGAAAACUCGUGGUUUUUUGUGUUAAUUGGGGGAUUUGCGAAGGGAAAACGCGUGAUUUUCGGGUUAAAUGGGGGAUUUUCGAAGUAAAAACGCGUGUUUUUCUGGUAAAAUGGGGGAUUUGCGAAGAGAAAAUGCUUGGUUUUCUGGUUAAAUGGGGGAUUUGCGAAGAGAAAACGCGUGACUUUCGCUUAAAUGUGGGAUUUGAGAAAACGCGUGAUUUUCGCUUAAGUGUUGGAUUCUCGGAGAGAAAACACGUGAUUUUCGCUUAAAUGGGGGAUUUCCGAAAAGAAAACGCGUGAUUUUCUGGUUAAAUGGGGGAUUUGCGAAGAGAAAACGCAUGAUUUUCUGGUUAAAUGGGGGACUUGCAAAUUGAAAAUGUGCGAUUAUCGGGCUAAAUGGGGGAUUUUCGAAGAGAAAACUCAUGGUUUUUUGUGUUAAUUGCGGGAUUUGCGAAGAGAAAACGCGUGAUUUUCGCUUAAAUGGGGGAUUUGAGAAAACACAUGAUUUUCACUUAAAUGUUGGAUUCUCGAAGUGAAAACGCGUGAUUUUCGCAUAAAUGGGGGAUUUCCGAAGAGAAAACACGUGAUUUUCAAGUUAAAUGGGGGAUUCGCGAAGAGAAAACGCGUGAUUUUCGCUUAAAUGGGGGAUUUGCGAAGAGAAAACGCGUGACUUUCGCUUAAAUGUGGGAUUUGAGAAAACGCGUGAUUUUCGCUUAAAUGUUGGAUUCUCGGAGAGAAAACGCGUGAUUUUCGCUUAAAUGGGGGAUUUCUGAAAAGAAAACGCGUGAUUUUCGGGUUAAAUGGAAGAUUCCUGAAGAGAAAAUGCGUGUUUUUUGCUUAAACGGCGGAUUUGUGAAGAGAAAAUGCGUGUUUUUCGGGUUAAAUGGAAGAUUCCUGAAGAGAAAAACGCGUGAUUUUUGCUUAAAUGGGGGAUUUGUGAAGAGAAAAACGCGUGUUUUUCGCUUAAAUGGGGGAUUUCUGAAGAGAAAACGCGUGGUUUUCGGGUUAAAUGGGAAAUUUUCGAAGAGAAAACACGUGUUUUCCACAUAAAUGGCGGAUUUGUGAAGAGAAAACGCGUGUUUUUCGCUUAAAUGGGGGAUUUGUGAAGAGAAAACGCGUGAUUUUCGGGUUAAAUGGGAAAUUUUCGAAGAGAAAACACGUGUUUUCCACAUAAAUGGGGGAUUUGCGAAGAAAAAACGCGUGAUUUUCAGGUUAAAUGGAAGAUUCCUGAAGAGAAAACGCGUGAUUUUCAAGUUAAAUGGGGGAUUUGCAAAGAGAAAACGUGUGAUUUUUGCUUAAAUGGUGUAUUUGAGAAGAGAAAAUUUGUGAUUUUCGCAUAAAUGGGGGAUUCUCAAAGAGAAAACGCUUGAUUUUCACUUAAAUUGACGAUUCGCAAAGAGAAAACGCGAGAUUUCCACUUAAAUGGGGGUUUUGCGAAGGGAAAAUGUGUGAUUUUCGCUUAAAUGGGGGAUUUUUGAAGAGAAAACUCAUGGUUUUUUGUGUUAAAUGGGGGAUUUGCGAAGAGAAAACGCGUGACUUUCGCUUAAAUGUGGGAUUUGAGAAAACACAUGAUUUUCACUUAAAUGUUGGAUUCUCGAAGUGAAAACGCGUGAUUUUCGCUUAAGUGUUGGAUUCUCGGAGAGAAAACACGUGAUUUUCGCUUAAAUGGGGGAUUUCCGAAAAGAAAACGCGUGAUUUUCUGGUUAAAUGGGGGAUUUGCGAAGAGAAAACGCGUGUUUUUCGCUUAAAUGGGGGACUUGCAAAUUGAAAAUGUGCGAUUAUCGGGUUAAAUGGGGGAUUUUCGAAGAGAAAACACGUGUUUUCCACAUAAAUGGGGGAUUUGCGAAGAGAAAACGCGUGACUUUCGCAUAAAUGGGGGAUUUGCAAAUUGAAAAUGCAUGAUUUUCAAGUUAAAUGGGGGAUUUGCAAAGAGAAAACACGUGAUUUUCGGGUUAAAUGGAAGAUUCCUGAAGAGAAAACGCGUGAUUUUUGCUUAAAUGGCGGAUUUGC
ensembl:lncRNA